UCAACUGGUACGGGAGUCUGAUGGAGCAAUACCACGUGAACGAUGAAGGUCUUCUGAUUGUAAAGUUCUUUUAUUUAGGAAAAAAAGCGCGCUAGGAAAUGAGCGCGCCUUGAUGGUACUAAUUGAAUAAGUGACAGCUAACUAUGUGCCA
rnacentral:rRNA from 1 species